CAGGAAGGAAUGUCAGCUCACUCUACAAUAUAGAAUAGGCUUCUGACAAAGCCUGCACCACAUAAAUUUUAUUGAAUAUAAUUUCAGAUAAGCCCUUCAACUUUUAAUGGAAAUCCAAAUAAGCCCAAUUUGAUCUUUUAGGCCAAAUAAACCAGCAUUUAAGCUCAAAUUAAUCACAAAGAUAACAAAAUAUUUUUUAUAAUCGUAAAUUUUUUUUAAUUUUCAAAUAUUAAAAAUUAUUUACUAUUUUUAUUCAAAAUAAAAAUUAAAAAAAUAAAAAAAUUGAAGAACAUCAAGAACACAACUCAUUAAACCCAGAAAUUCAAAACCCCAAAUACAUUAGAAAUUCAACAACACAACCCAAAACAUCAUCAAUAAUCUGGAAAUUAACAACACUAAUCAAUAAAUUUAAGAACAAUUCCCAAAAAUUCUCAAUCAGAGAAUAAAGCACAUGGGCUUAAAAGCUGUAAUUAACAUACAAAAAGCAGCAGUAGAUAA
rnacentral:misc_RNA from 1 species